rnacentral:rRNA from 1 species
GACGAACGCUGGCGGCGUGCUUAACACAUGCAAGUCGAACGGAAAGGCCCUGCUUUUGUGGGGUGCUCGAGUGGCGAACGGGUGAGUAACACGUGAGUAACCUGCCCUUGACUUUGGGAUAACUUCAGGAAACUGGGGCUAAUACCGGAUAGGAUCUCCUGCUGCAUGGUGGGGGUUGGAAAGUUUCGGCGGUUGGGUAUGGACUCGCGGCUUAUCAGCUUGUUGGUGGGGUAGUGGCUUACCAAGGCUUUGACGGGUAGCCGGCCUGAGAGGGUGACCGGCCACAUUGGGACUGAGAUACGGCCCAGACUCCUACGGGAGGCAGCAGUGGGGAAUAUUGCACAAUGGGCGGAAGCCUGAUGCAGCAACGCCGCGUGCGGGAUGACGGCCUUCGGGUUGUAAACCGCUUUCGCCUGUGACGAAGCGUGAGUGACGGUAAUGGGUAAAGAAGCACCGGCUAACUACGUG